rnacentral:rRNA from 1 species
UACGGAGGAUCCGAGCGUUAUCCGGAUUUAUUGGGUUUAAAGGGUGCGUAGGCGGAAAUGUAAGUCAGUGGUGAAAUCCCGCAGCUUAACUGUAGAAUAGCCGUUGAAACUGUGUUUCUUGAGUACAUUUGAGGUAGGCGGAAUGUGGUGUGUAGCGGUGAAAUGCAUAGAUAUACCACAGAACACCGAUUGCGAAGGCAGCUUACUAAACUGUCACUGACGCUGAUGCACGAAAGCGUGGGUAUCAAACAGGAUUAGAUA